AUCCAGCUGACGAGUCCUAAAUGGGACGAAACGUGUGUCUUAGGU
rnacentral:hammerhead_ribozyme from 1 species